rnacentral:misc_RNA from 1 species
AACGCACCUUGCACUCUUUGCGCAAGUAAAGAGUAUACCUGUUUGAGAAUUAUGACUACCUUUACCAUCUGGUAGAUUUGGCUGUUCGACCAAAAGGUCGUCGGCUUAAAUGGAGUAAGCUAUGGGCUGGGCACGGCGCCUAGACAUUGUGUGAUAGAGGCACCUCGUGUCUACUCACAAUGCGUCUGGGCGAUCAACCUGCUUGGUUCCGGCUUGACAGGAGGCUUUGCGGCCACCACCUUUUGAACUGUAAUCUCAAAUCAGGUAAGGCUACCCGCUGAACUUAA